rnacentral:rRNA from 1 species
UAGGGAAUCUUCGGCAAUGGGGGCAACCCUGACCGAGCAACGCCGCGGGAGUGAAGAAGGUUUUCGGAUCGUAAAGCUCUGUUGUAAGAGAAGAACGUGUGUGAGAGUGGAAAGUUCACACAGUGACGGUAACUUACCAGAAAGGGACGGCUAACUACGUGCCAGCAGCCGCGGUAAUACGUAGGUCCCGAGCGUUGUCCGGAUUUAUUGGGCGUAAAGCGAGCGCAGGCGGUUUAAUAAGUCUGAAGUUAAAGGCAGUGGCUUAACCAUUGUUCGCUUUGGAAACUGUUAAACUUGAGUGCAGAAGGGGAGAGUGGAAUUCCAUGUGUAGCGGUGAAAUGCGUAGAUAUAUGGAGGAACACCGGUGGCGAAAGCGGCUCUCUGGUCUGUAACUGACGCUGAGGCUCGAAAGCGUGGGGAGCAAACAGG